rnacentral:rRNA from 1 species
UACGGGGGGAGCAAGCGUUGUUCGGAUUUACUGGGCGUAAAGGGCGCGUAGGCGGCGCAACAAGUCACUUGUGAAAUCUCCGGGCUUAACCCGGAGCGGUCAAGUGAUACUGUCGUGCUAGAGUGCGGAAGGGGCUACUGGAAUUCUCGGUGUAGCGGUGAAAUGCGCAGAUAUCAGGAGGAACACCGGUGGCGAAGGCGGCCCUCUGGACCGGUACUGACGCU